CUUCUCCUGUCUGAGGGAGUCUUUCUAAGACCUACAGUUUAUUGUCUGUCCCCUUGGAAUGACUUCAGCGCUAGCCCUAGAUGAUCACUCUUCACCUAAGACCCCCAUAACAUUUAGAAGCUGGAUGAAGUGAUGAAAUGGGGAACAUAUCCAGGAAGGAAAGUUCUCUGUGUUCAAGGGAAACAUUGCAAUCUGAUUGAGGUUCAUUCCCUUCUUACCUGCUGCAGGCCAGAGGCAAUCCUUCAGACUGAAUGAGGAAGAAACACAGAUGGUCUGUCUGGAUAAGGAAAAGAAGAAGAACAUUCUAGAGAAAUGGAUAGCUGGCAUAAAGUUUCAUGCCUCCUCUUCAGAGAAUAACAGAGUUCAUUUGGCUGGAGUUCAGGGGCUUCUUCUUUGUGACCUGUCCUGGGAAGACACCAGCGGGGCCUAGUUAGGAAACCUCUGAAGAGCUGAGUUAGGCUUACUGCCUUGCUGCUGUUCUGGCUGC